AGUGAACGCUGGCGGUAGGCCUAACACAUGCAAGUCGAACGGCAGCACAGUAAGAGCUUGCUCUUACGGUUGGCGAGUGGCGGACGGGUGAGGAAUACAUCGGAAUCUACUUUUUCGUGGGGGAUAACGUAGGGAAACUUACGCUAAUACCGCAUACGACCUACGGGUGAAAGCAGUGGAUCUUCGGACCUUGCGCGAUUGAAUGAGCCGAUGUCGGAUUAGCUAGUUGGCGGGGUAAAGGCCCACCAAGGCGACGAUCCGUAGCUGGUCUGAGAGGAUGAUCAGCCACACUGGAACUGAGACACGGUCCAGACUCCUACGGGAGGCAGCAGUGGGGAAUAUUGGACAAUGGGCGCAAGCCUGAUCCAGCCAUACCGCGUGGGUGAAGAAGGCCUUCGGGUUGUAAAGCCCUUUUGUUGGGAAAGAAAAGCAGCAGGUUAAUACCCCGCUGUUCUGACGGUACCCAAAGAAUAAGCACCGGCUAACUUCGUG
rnacentral:rRNA from 1 species